GGCACCCUCUCUUCCCUCUGCUUGCACUAGUUUUCGAAAAAUGUGAAUUAGCGACUUGUACGCCGAGAGAAAGCGGUGUGGCCGGCGACGUCUGCUCGUCUGAAUCCUUUGACGAAGAUAUUACAGUAUUUGCAAAGCAGAUAAGGACGGAAAAACCUUACUUCUCGUCCAAUCCAGACUUGGAUAAUUUGAUGAUUCAAGCCAUACAAGUGUUACGAUUUCAUCUGCUCGAACUAGAGAAGGU